rnacentral:rRNA from 1 species
UACGAAGGGGGCUAGCGUUGCUCGGAAUUACUGGGCGUAAAGGGUGCGUAGGCGGAUAGUUUAGUCAGAGGUGAAAGCCCAGGGCUCAACCUUGGAAUUGCCUUUGAUACUGGCUAUCUUGAGUUCGGGAGAGGUGAGUGGAAUGCCGAGUGUAGAGGUGAAAUUCGUAGAUAUUCGGCGGAACACCAGUGGCGAAGGCGACUCACUGGCCCGAUACUGACGCUGAGGCGCGAAAGCGUGGGGAGCGAACAGG